AUGUUGUAAGAUAUAAAAAAUGUUUUGCACUACCUCUAUGAAGAGUGGAAGAGGUGUGUGCCCAACAGCAUACGUAUGGCUAAAGUCCUGCCACCUGCUUUGUGGCAUUGAAUUACAGAUUUAU
rfam:Mesocricetus auratus contig190694, whole genome shotgun sequence.